rnacentral:rRNA from 1 species
CCUACGGGCGGCAGCAGUGGGGAAUAUUGGACAAUGGGCGAAAGCCUGAUCCAGCCAUGCCGCGUGUGUGAAGAAGGCCUUCGGGUUGUAAAGCACUUUCAGUGGGGAAGAAAGCCUUGGGGCUAAUACCCUCGAGGAAGGACAUCACCCACAGAAGAAGCACCGGCUAACUCCGUGCCAGCAGCCGCGGUAAUACGGAGGGUGCGAGCGUUAAUCGGAAUUACUGGGCGUAAAGCGCGCGUAGGCGGUCUGAUAAGCCGGUUGUGAAAGCCCCGGGCUCAACCUGGGAACGGCAUCCGGAACUGUCAGGCUAGAGUGCAGGAGAGGAAGGUAGAAUUCCCGGUGUAGCGGUGAAAUGCGUAGAGAUCGGGAGGAAUACCAGUGGCGAAGGCGGUCUUCUGGACUGACACUGACGCUGAGGUGCGAAAGCGUGGGUAGCAAACAGGAUUAGAUACCCUGGUAGUC